rnacentral:rRNA from 1 species
AGAGUUUGAUCAUGGCUCAGGAUGAACGCUAGCGGCAGGCCUCAUACAUGCAAGUCGAGGGGCAGCGGGACACUCCGGUGUUGCCGGCGACCGGCGGACGGGUGCGUAAUGCGCAUGCAAUCUACUUUACACUGGGGAAUAGCCUCCGGAAACGGGAAUUAAUACCCCAUAUAAUCUUAUUAGCGCAUGUUAAAAAGAUGAAAGCUCCGGCGGUGUAAAAUGAGCGUGCGUCCUAUUAGCUAGUUGGUGAGGUAAUGGCUCACCAAGGCUACGAUGGGUAGGGGUUCUUAGUGGAAGGUCCCCCACACUGGCACUGAGAUACGGGCCAGACUCCUACGGGAGGCAGCAGUAGGGAAUAUUGGUCAAUGGGCGCAAGCCUGAACCAGCCAUGCCGCGUGCAGGAUGAAGGCUCUCUGAGUUGUAAACUGCUUUUGUACAGGAGCAAAAAAGUCCCUGCGGGGAUUCUUGAGCGUACUGUUAAGAAUAGCACCGGCUAAUUCCGUGCCAGCAGCCGCGGUAAUACGGGAGGUGCAAGCGUUAUCCGGUUUUAUUGGGUUUAAAGGGUGCGUAGGCGGCUUAUUAAGUCAGUUGUGAAAUCCUAGUGCUUAACGCUAGAACUGCGAUUGAUACUAUUAGGCUUGAGUUAAGAAGAGGUAAGCAGAAUUUAUGGUGUAGUAGUGAAAUGCUUAGAUAUCAUAAGGAAUACCAAUAGCGUAGGCAGCUUACUGGUCUUUAACUGACGCUGAGGCACGAAAGCGUGGGGAGCAAACAGGAUUAGAUACCCUGGUAGUCCACGCCGUAAACGAUGAUCACUCGAUAUACAUGAUACAUCAUGUGUGUCUAAGCGAAAGCGUUAAGUGAUCCACCUGGGGAGUAUACUCGCAAGGGUGAAACUCAAAGGAAUUGACGGGGGUCCGCACAAGCGGUGGAGUAUGUGGUUUAAUUCGAUAAUACGCGAGGAACCUUACCUGGGCUAGAAUGUGUUUUGCUACCUUGAGAAAUUGAGGGUUCCUUCGGGACGGAAUACAAGGUGCUGCAUGGCUGUCGUCAGCUCGUGCCGUGAGGUGUUGGGUUAAGUCCUAUAACGAGCGAAACCCUUUUACUUAAUUGCCAGCACGUAAUGGUGGGGACUUUAAGUAGACUGCCCGUGUAAGCGGGAGGAAGGAGAGGACGAGGUCAAGUCAUCAUGGCCUUUAUGCCCAGGGCUACACACGUACUACAAUGGCAUGUACAAAGGGAAGCUACUUGGCAACAAGAUGCAAAUCUCAAAAGCAUGUCUCAGUUCGGAUUGAGGUCUGCAAUUCGACCUCAUGAAGUUGGAAUCGCUAGUAAUCGCGUAUCAGCAAUGACGCGGUGAAUACGUUCUCGGACCUUGUACACACCGCCCAUCAAGCCAUGGGAGUUGGUAGAGCUUGAAGACAGUGGCCGUAAAAGGAGCUGUUUAGUGUUAGACCAGCGACUGGGGCUAAGUCGUAACAAGGUAACCGUA